GCUAUAAUCACUAUACUCCCCAAGGUAUGAUCACUAAGAGCUUGUUCCUGUUCCUGCUCUCUGGGGAAAGAGAGGUUCACCCACUGGAAGCUGGAUCCUGGCCUUGGGUCCAGGGUGGGUGGAGACAGCAGAGACCCCGGCGCAGUUGUAUCGCUGGAAGUGGGGUCUGCAGUGCUGAUGGUGUCGGUUGGAGUGCUUGGAGUCCUCAGCGAGCACUAGGAGCAUCGAUUGGCGGAGGUACUCAGUUGGAGUGCCAGUGUUCCGUCACACCAAGUAUCUCACCUCAACAAUGUCUGUACAAGAAGCUGAGCUAUAGGCUCCCAUCACAGCAUGCAAGAUCUCUGAAGGAAGACUGAACUCGGAGGAAGCAUGUGGCAACUCUCUG